GGGCCGUUAGCUCAGUUGGUAGAGCAACUGACUUUUAAUCAGUGGGUCGCAGGUUCGAAUCCUGCACGGCUCA
rfam:Boseongicola aestuarii strain CECT 8489 genome assembly, contig: 0003